UACAGGGGGGGCAAGCGUUGUUCGGAAUUACUGGGCGUAAAGGGCUCGUAGGCGGCCAACUAAGCCCGACGUGAAAUCCCAAAGCUUAACUUUGGAACUGCGUCGGAUACUGGAUGGCUUGAAUUCGGGAGAGGGAUGCAGAAUUCCAGGUGUAGCGGUGAAAUGCGUAGAUAUCUGGAGGAAUACCGGUGGCGAAGGCGGCAUCCUGGACCGACAUUGACGCUGAGGAGCGAAAGCUAGGGGAGCAAACGGG
rnacentral:rRNA from 1 species